CUGAUGAAAUAUGCAACAAACCUUUGUGAAUUAUCCUCUUUGAACCACAUAUCAACACCUUCGAUAACACCAAAAAAGCAAACACAAACAACGGCAGUACCAUCAAGUUUUGAUUCACAGAAUUUUGAGAAAUUUUGCACAUCAUGCAAUCCUAUAAAUGAUUCAACCUUGGAUAUUAACAAAGAAUCUUCAAAACCAAAAUCAUGAUAAACCAUAAUAACUAAUUUUUUGGUUCCUUUGUAAAAGAC
rnacentral:lncRNA from 1 species